rnacentral:lncRNA from 1 species
CUCAGAAAAGCAUUCCACACCCUACUCAGCCCAACUGGGAACCUGGCGGCAGUCAGGAUUCAGGUCUUCUGGGGGCUACUUUAGAAACCAGCUGCAGGUGCAGACUUGGUCUUCACGUGGCCCAAGGCAGUAUAUACACUAAAUAAGUGUGAGAUAAGCCCCAUGGUCAAGGAACAAUCCUAGUAUGGAAACUCUCUGCUGUUAUCUGAAGGAAGGGUGGUUCAGAGUCUCAGUUAGGCUGUAGGGUGGCACUGUGGGGCACAGGCAAGCCUGCCAUUGGAGUGGUUAGGAGGGGUCUGAAGGUUUACUGCACCUGGGACAAGACCAGCUUCUAGGACUGGGCAUGCGGGAAGUCCCAGUCUGGACCACCAGGCACUGUCAAGUGUAAGGAGAAAUUUCAGAUUUUGAAAGAAGCAAAACACAGAUGGAUAGCCUUUUCCCGGAAUGCCGGAGCCUCCAGGGGAUUCUCUGAUUCUAUAGACUGAACCUGAAGGCAGAUCCUAGC